GUGGAACGUCGACGACUAUGAAGGAGGAGAAGGGUAAUUGGAUUGAAAGCAGAGGAAAUAUGAAAGAGUUGAAGUUUGUGUAUAGGUAAAGAAUCAAUCAUCUUGCAAAAAGAGACUUCAACUUCAAGGAAGAAGAGGUUUAAACACGAGGAUAGGCCUAAGGGGAAAAAGAGUGAAAAACAGCCGUUGGAUCACAAAAAUUUGAAGCUGAGAGAUUAUGAAGAAACAAAGCAAAAGGAAUGGGACCAAAUGUUCACUAUAGUCCUAAAGAGAGCUGAAAAAGCAAAAGCAGAGAGAGAGAAGGAGAGAUCUUUGCUUUUGAUCUCCACUUGAGAAGAAAAAUCCAUUAAUCUUUCACAUGGAAAAGAGUGCUCUUGUAUUAAGUUGAAAUCCAUGAGCCCCCACCCUUAUAUGCAUGGAAAGGGGUGCUCUCUUGUACUACUAUUAAUCAAAACAUCCAAACCAACACACAAACAGGUGCAAGUAUGGUUUUUAUCAUGAGUUAUAUUGUCUUGACAC